rnacentral:rRNA from 1 species
UUGAACGCUGGCGGCAGGCCUAACACAUGCAAGUCGAACGGUAACAGGAAACAGCUUGCUGUUUCGCUGACGAGUGGCGGACGGGUGAGUAAUGUCUGGGAAACUGCCUGAUGGAGGGGGAUAACUACUGGAAACGGUAGCUAAUACCGCAUAACGUCGCAAGACCAAAGAGGGGGACCCUCGGGCCUCUUGCCAUCGGAUGUGCCCAGAUGGGAUUAGCUUGUUGGUGGGGUAACGGCUCACCAAGGCGACGAUCCCUAGCUGGUCUGAGAGGAUGACCAGCCACACUGGAACUGAGACACGGUCCAGACUCCUACGGGAGGCAGCAGUGGGGAAUAUUGCACAAUGGGCGCAAGCCUGAUGCAGCCAUGCCGCGUGUAUGAAGAAGGCCUUCGGGUUGUAAAGUACUUUCAGCGGGGAGGAAGGGAGUAAAGUUAAUACCUUGGCUCAUUGACGUUACCCGCAGAAGAAGCACCGGCUAACUCCGUG